GACGAACCGAGCGAACGUUGUUCGGAAUCACUGGGCUUAAAGGGCGCGUAGGCGGGUGCUCAAGUCCGUGGUGAAAUCCUCCGGCUCAACCGGAGAACUGCCUCGGAUACUGGGCGUCUCGAGUGUGGUAGGGGUAUGCGGAACUAUCGGUGGAGCGGUGAAAUGCGUUGAUAUCGAUAGGAACUCCGGUGGCGAAGGCGGCAUACUGGACCACCACUGACGCUGAUGCGCGAAAGCCAGGGGAGGCAAACAGG
rnacentral:rRNA from 1 species